AGAGCGAACGCUGGCGGCAGGCCUAAUACAUGCAAGUCGAACGGAUCCUUCGGGAUUAGUGGCGGACGGGUGAGUAACACGUGGGAACGUACCCUUUGGUUCGGAACAACUCAGGGAAACUUGAGCUAAUACCGAAUGUGCCCUUCGGGGAAAAGAUUUAUCGCCAUUGGAGCGGCCCGCGUCUGAUUAGCUAGUUGGUAGGGUAAAGGCCUACCAAGGCUACGAUCAGUAGCUGGUCUGAGAGGAUGAUCAGCCACACUGGGACUGAGACACGGCCCAGACUCCUACGGGAGGCAGCAGUAGGGAAUCUUGCGCAAUGGGCGAAAGCCUGACGCAGCCAUGCCGCGUGAAUGAUGAAGGUCUUAGGAUUGUAAAAUUCUUUCAGCGGGACGAUAAUGACGGUACCGCAGAAGAACGCCCCGGCUAACUUCGUGCCAGCACGCCGC
rnacentral:rRNA from 1 species